rnacentral:lncRNA from 1 species
GGAGGGGGCACCUGGGGAAAGGUAGAAUUAUGUUUUCCUUUCUCUUCUUUUUCAGAAAGAAAUUAAAACGUUCUAGGAGCAGAGAAGGGGGGCAGGGAUGCAAGGAAGAAAGGACCUUCUGGUUUCAUACGAGAAACACUCAAGUAGCAUGAACACAACAGUGAAAAAUCAAGAUUGUUUAAAAAGUUUAACUGGAACCCUCUUGACUUAAUACAUAUAUAUAAAAAAAAAUCUGCUUCUGCUUUCAUUCUUCUGCUCUUUCAAUUACUUUUUCACUUCUGUUCUGAAGGCGUUUGCUCUGUUUUUCCCCAUUUCUUCCAUUCUUCUGGUGCUAGUGUGUCCGUUUUACUGCUUUCUGAGCCAGCAUCCUAUUGCCUGCCAGGAACGUGACACCACCCAAAAUGGCCAAGUACUUCAGAGUUUGGAACAUGUUGAGCUGAGUCCAGUAGACAUACAUAAGUCCCAACAUUGCAGCAUGUCCCAUGUGGAAAACAAUGGUGCUGGGAGCAAAGCUGAAGUUGGAGAUGUUGGCACCAAUCUUUAUCCACAGAAUGAGCAGCAAGAGCAGUGGUGAGAGAAUCAGUGCUGUGAAUGUGUUAGAUACCACAGUGGGAGGCCUCUUCUCAGGUUCCCUGAAGAGGUGCUUAAUUUCAGGCUUGGGAACAAAGAGGUUCUUGGACUGGACUGUGGAUGGCACAUCCUCUUCUGGGAAUUUAAUCACAACAUCAGCCACGUUCCACAGGAUUGGAUUUUCCAGAGUGGCAUCUCCAAUUAUCAAGUACAGAGUAUAGGUACCAGAGGCAGAGUCAAAUUCAGUCUUCCUUUCAGAGGUAUCCAGUUCAAACUUGUAUACAUUCUUGCUAUCUGGUUCUGCAACAAAAACUACCUCCUGGCCAGUCUUCUGGUUGUGAAGUCGGACAAAAGUCUGGUGAGGAAUGAGAUCAGCUCCACUGUUCACAUCUAUCAGCUGGAAGGAUAGAGCAAAAUUCUGAUGGCUGUCAGCAGUGAAGGAGCCCUUGGCUUUGGCUGGGUAAGCUACCCUGGUUGUUUUUGGUGCAAUGCUCUGAUCUUUAUCCACUGUAGAAAGAUCUACAUUAGUAAUCCCAACUUCCGUGGACACUUUUACUUUCAGCUCAACUCUGUUAGCAAUAAAUCUGUUAUCUCCAUCAACACUGAUAGAGAAAUCAUAAUAUCCACUUGCAGGUUUGACAUUCAUGAAGUUCAGCUCAAAGACCUCCCCUGACAGAGCAAAUGCUGUCUGCUGGAGGACAGUGGCUUUGGUAGAUGCAGACUUGGCGUAGUCUAGCUUUACAGAAGCUUGAGUGAGUGGCUUGGACAUUACAUUGGUCACUUGGAGCCUAAGUACAGGCUGAUGGUGAGACACAGCAGCAGGACCAUCAGGGACAAUGACCACAGGCAAAUGGUAGCGGUUGUGGGAUAGAGAACCCGCGGCACAAGCAACGCUGAAGGCCUCUGAGAGUGUCUCAAAAUUUUUCUUGCUAAAAAUGGCAUUCAUCAACUGGAUAAUUUGCUCCUCUUUCAUCGCUGGUUCUGUUCCCACAUGGUCUGACAGCUUAUAGGCAGCAGCAACAAACAGUGCAGUAGUCUCAAUUCCUUCUUCAAACUGCAGAUAAAC